rnacentral:piRNA from 1 species
AGGAUAUGCUUGCCAACGUUCACUUUCUCACA